CAGGCCUAACACAUGCAAGUCGAACGAAGGCUUCGGCCUUAGUGGCGCACGGGUGCGUAACGCGUGGGAAUCUGCCCUUGGGUUCGGAAUAACAGCGGGAAACUGCUGCUAAUACCGGAUGAUGACGUAAGUCCAAAGAUUUAUCGCCCAAGGAUGAGCCCGCGUAGGAUUAGGUAGUUGGUGAGGUAAAGGCUCACCAAGCCGACGAUCCUUAGCUGGUCUGAGAGGAUGAUCAGCCACACUGGGACUGAGACACGGCCCAGACUCCUACGGGAGGCAGCAGUGGGGAAUAUUGGACAAUGGGCGAAAGCCUGAUCCAGCAAUGCCGCGUGAGUGAUGAAGGCCUUAGGGUUGUAAAGCUCUUUUACCCGGNAUGAUAAAGACUUANCCGGGGCAAUAAGCUCCGCCUAACUCCGUGCCANCAGCC
rnacentral:rRNA from 1 species